rnacentral:rRNA from 1 species
UACGUAGGGACCAAGCGUUGUUCGGAUUUACUGGGCGUAAAGGGCGCGUAGGCGGCAAUUCAAGUCAUCUGUGAAAUCUCCGGGCUUAACUCGGAACUGUCAGAUGAUACUGCUUUGCUAGAGUGCAGAAGGGGCAAUCGGAAUUCUUGGUGUAGCGGUGAAAUGCGUAGAUAUCAAGAGGAACACCUGAGGUGAAGACGGGUUGCUGGGCUGACACGUGACGCUGGAGGCGCGAAAGCCAGGGGAGCAAACGGGA